rnacentral:rRNA from 1 species
GAUGAACGCUGGCGGUGUGCCUAACACAUGCAAGUCGAGCGGACACACGAGAAGCUCGCUCCCUUACCGGUAGCGGCGGGCGGACGAGUAACACGUGCAUCAGAUACUUCUAUUUCUGGGAUGAUUACGUAAAAACGCUUCUGCUAAUACCUCAUACAUUCUACCGCAUGAAUCAAUAGAUCUACGGGGCUUUCCCGUCUCAAUUAGCUGGAUCCGGGCCGCAUUAGCUAGUUGGUAAGGUAACGGCUAACCAAGGCUACGAUGCGUAGCCGAUCUGAGAGGAUGAUCAGCCACACUGGAACUGAGACACGGUCCAGACUCCUACGGGAGGCAGCAGUAGGGAAUAUUCCACAAUGGGCGAAAGCCUGACGGAGCAACGCCGCGUGGGUGAUGAAGGCCUUCGGAUCGUAAAGCUCUGUUAUUAGGAAAGAACAGAUGUGUGAGUAACUAUGCACGUCUUGACGGUACCUAAUGAGAAAGCCACGGCUAACUACGUG